CACCCUCCUUAGACCAGCUCAGACGGCGCACAUGCGUCCUUACAGUCAAAUGGGUGGUUCUGCCCUAAGCGCCCCACAAGUACGCCUCUUGGAGCAUGCGCGCGGCGGCGUUUCAAUGAGUUGCUCUGUGCGUUCUAGACUCCAGAAUGGGAAAUCUGGAUGACUCGUCCCCCAGCGAUUUUUUUUCCCCGUGCCAUUCUAUAAAUAAGGCAGGAGACAUUGAAGGUGAAGCGCAAAAAAGUCUUCAGUUUAGCGGACGGCGUCAGGUUGAAGAGAAAAACCUCGCAAACCCAUUUCCCCGAUGGGUUGUCAACGUAAUAAAAAUUAUACCCAAGACACACAUACAACAUUGAAAUUGAUGGUAGCCAGUGCCCUCCAAAGAUCAGCCUCCUUGAGGUAGGCUAAGCUGAGAAAGUGACUUGGCCCAAUGUCACCCUGGGAGCUUCGUUCCAUGAAUCCAGCCCAUUAUGACUUAUUCAGCCAUUCUACUUAAACUGUGGUUUAGCAUAUUGUAUGCAGUUUUAUGAGUAAAAAAUAUGUACCAAUACAAAAUAUCAUUAACCUGUUUUCCAGGUUUAAAAUAGCUAGAAUGUUUUCUUUAUAGAUCUGGUAGAUCUGGUGAUAUUUAUAUUGAUUAAGUCAUUUUCAGUCAUAUACAGAAGAAUGACUUUCUGGAGGAUGUGUGCCAUUAUUGAAAAUGAGACCAGAACUGAAUUGGUGAAUAAUUAAUACAAUUAAUACAAUUGGUGAAUAAGAAAUACAAGUAUGUUUUUCUAUAGAUUCUUCUUCUAUGACCUGUCACUCAUGUUGGAAAAUAAAUAAUACUAUUUUUAUAUAUAAUAGCAGUGGUAAGAAAAGGUGAAAUUGUUCAUAAUGGGCAUAGCAACAUUUUAAAAGGCCACCAUGUUCAAAAAAAUAUUUUUGUGAGGCAUAGUCUGAAAGAAAAACAUUUAGAGAACAACUAAAUGAGAUAGAGAACAUUUGGAAUUUUGAACUGUUGUUAUAGAUAGUCUUUCAAAAUGUGCAAUCAAUGUAGGUUAUUUUCAAAACUGUAGCCAUGGUGGGUAUAUACUGCAUAGACAUAGAAUUCCAUUUAAAACUAAAGAUAAAGGUUUCUCCUGUCCAGUCAUGUCCGACUCUAGGGGGCAGUGCUCAUCUCUGUUUCUGAGCCAAGAGAGCCAGCAUUGUCCAAAGACAUUUCCGAGGUCAUGUGGCCAGCAUGAGUAUAUGCAAAGGUGCACAGAAUGCUGUUUGCUUUUCAACUGAAGUGGUACCUGUUUAUCUACUUGCAUUUGCAUGCUUUCAAACUGAUAGGUGGGCAGGAGCUGGGGCAAGUAACAGGAGAUCACCCCAUCAUGUGAUGCUCUGGUCUCGAACCCAGGCUGUCAGCUUUCCAACUGACAAGCUCAGUGUCUCUAACCACUGAGCCAUAAUGCCCCCGCAAUUCCAUUUACUAGAAGGCAAACUGGCAAGUUAUUUUAUAUUGCAACUAUUUACCAUCUAAACUUAUUUUUACCAUUUCCACUGCUAGUGAUUUCUUACAUCUUGCAGUAUAAUAAUCCAACAAUUUGCUUGUCAGUGUAAGCCCUAUCUUCAUUAGUGAUAUAUUACUUCAACAAUUGUUGGAUGACGCAUUAAAAUCCUAUCAAUCUUUAAUGAAGAAAUGGCCAAAGUACCAGGCUGAAGUCACCUGUGAUUUUUUUCCCCUUGUAACAAGUCUCAAUUAAGUUUUAUCUAUUGUUUGUGAGAAUGCUUACCAUAAUACUUUGUAUUUCUGCAUAGCUUGUCAUGCUAAAUACUACUGAAAGCAAUGGACUUACUUUAAUAGAGCACAGAAUCAGGCUGUACAUUCAUAAUCCAGAACUCAAUUGAUAGCUGCAAGAAGGCUCCAUGGGACUAAAUGAGCAAUGCCUUUGAAUAAACAUGAUAUUAAAUGUUGUUGAUAUCUCCUCUGAACCAAUUCUGUCAGGGCACUUCAUGUCAGUAUUUUUUGGUUAAUAAUUUUAUUGAUAAUAUAAUAAAUACAAGCUAAAUUAGAAGGAAAAAAAUCAGGUGCAGAAAAAAAAAGAAAAAAGUAGAAGAUGAAAGAAAAAGGCAACAAAUGCAAUAAUAAAGAAGUGGCUUCCAACCUUUAUCACAUCAAGCAUAAGCUGAUAUACUAAAUCUUCACUUUAUUUGAAAGUUACAAAUAAAGAAUUCUCCUUUUCAUAGCCUAACUUUUAUCUCUAUUCAGUAGAGAAAUAAUCAUCUUUUCAAUUCUAGUUCAGCAAAACAUUUUUUUUUAAAUUUGAUUUAUAUGCCGCCCUUCUCCGGAGACUCAGGGCGGCUUACAAUGCGUUAAGCAAUAGCCUUCAUACUUUUGUAUAUUUAUACAAAGUCAGCUUAUUGCCCACACAAACUGGGUCCUCAUUUUACCUACCUUAGAAAGGAUGGAAGGCUGAGUCAGCCUUGAGCCUGGUGAGAUUCGAACUUACAGUAAUUGCAGACAACUGGUGUUAAUCACAAUGCUUUUAGUCUGCUAAGCCACCAGGCACCACAUUAAUUAGGAGUUACCAGAAAAAUCAAAUGAAUGAUGUAUCUCUGGUCAAAUAGUCAAACUUUAUACCCCUUCAUUUUGCUCUGCAGAAUCUUGAUUUUUAAAGCAUACUUAUGGCAUUGCAGGAUUUGAUCUAUCAUUACUCUUUGGCAUUAAAAAGGAAUAUUCAAAGCAGUCAUUUGUAAAUCCCAUAAAGAAGUCUGGUCUGAUUUCUUGUCAUAACUGUUCUAUGUCCAAAUCCUUUUCUUGAUUUGUCUUUUGUAUUACUGUUUUAGUAAUCUUAAUUUUGUUGUCUUCCAUGCCUUCAAACUCUGUAAUGUUUAUGUCAGGUAAACAUUUUCUUAAUUUUUUUCUCACCUAAUUUUAUCUACUGAAAUCUGUAGCCUUUCUGAGAUAUUAUCAAUAUUUCAGUCCAUGUUUCAAAAAACUCUUUAAGUAAAGAAAAAAUUAUAUCUGGCUUACGAUUUUAACUCUGUUCUCCCUGGUCCUUUAAUCAUCAAGCCUUAAUGCCUAAUAUGGAUUUAGUUCCAUUUCAGUAAUUUCCCCCUAAUAUCUUAUUUCAUUUUUUUUAAUCUUAAAGCAAAAAAUAACUGAUAUUCCAAUAAUAUCUGGCUUAGUGUCCUUAUGAAAUGCUCUGCCAUUGCUGAGAGCAAAGAUGUUGUCUCCCUUGACUCCUAGUGCUCAAACCCACAGCAGAAUGCUGUUUGUGAGUAGCUGCAAUUCAGACACUUGUAAACAAUCUCCCAAUCUCUCCAUCUUUGAAAAACCAAAAAACCCAAUCUAAUUGCCAGUCUUCUGUCCUUCUCAACAAUUGUCAUCUCUGAUUUGUGGAGACAACUUUAGUUAGCCAUGAUCAGGGGUGAAAUGCUACUGGUUAACUCCAGUUCGGGCAAAUCGGUAGUAAUAAAAAUUACCAGUUCAAAUGAACCGAUAGUAAAAAAAAGCUACCAGUUCGGGUGAACCAGUAGUUUAAAACAGGGUUCCCCAACCUUUCGGAGCUCAGGGACCACUAAAUUCAUAAUUUUAAAUCUCACGGACCACUAAUAUGAUCUGCCUAAUGACUGGCUGGGUGGGCGUGGAUAGGUGGUCAUGUGACUGGAUGGGCAUGGCCAACUCGAUGUCACUUGCAUCUAGGGGCACCUUGCCAGCCUCUACUCACCCCUCCCCUCCCAGCCACUCCUUGCCUGUCUGCCCGGGCUCCUUAGGGCCCCAACAGGAAGCAGCUGUUGAAGCUAAGCAGCCACCAGGAGAAAGUUUUGGCAAAACAGCUCAGUUAGUUCAAAUUGGAUCUGACCGAGAAGGAGACUCAGCAGAAGCACCUCACUGAGGACUAGGAGCAUAGGCUUUCCAAGCAGAGGGAAGACCUGUGGGAGUGCAAGGCCAGGUACUGGCGCCUGGAGGCUCAGUGGGCUGAGAUGGUCAGCUAGUUCCAGGCCAUGAUGCAGUCCCACUGGAACGAGGCCCUCCGGCUCUUCAUCACCAGCAGCACUUCCCUCCAGCCUUUGCCCAAAGCCCUGUACCAGGAGGCUGAAGCAGACCCCCAAGUCAGAAUUUCUGCCCCCCUCCGACCCACACAAAAAGACCUCAAAAGGGGAGACUCUGCUGCAACACAAAUGUUCAUUGCACGUAUCCGGCCUAGGGACCGUAGUUUGAGGACCCCUAACUUAGAGCAAUAUAAAAAAUGCAAAUACUUUUUCUGCAGACCACCAAAAUUUUCUCACGGACCACCAGUUGGUGACCGCUGGUUUAAAAAGCUACCGGUUCAGUUUAAAAAGCUACCGGUUCAGUCGAAGUAGUAGUUAGCUGCCGGUUCAGUCGAACCGGUAAUUUUAAAAAGAUACUGGUUCUUCCGAACUGGUAUUUCUGACUAUCAACUGUGCCGCACCGUUUAGAUUUGCUAGAGAGCAGGAAAUCCUGCUUUCUAGCGAAGCUAAAUCGUGCAGCACAGCUGAUCCCCCCCUCACUGUUCUACUUACCUUCCCAAGCCUCCUUUUGGUGUGUAUUGUGUAUGUGUGCACGCGCAGCGCAUGUUUGGCGCGCAGUGCACAUGCACAGCUAGCAAACCAGUUCAGAUUUCACCACUGGCCAUGACACACACCAGAAGCCACUUAUUCUGCUUGAUUACCGAUUACAUAUUUUGCACCACUUAUUCUGGUUUUUUUUUACUGAAUUAUGUGACACCACCGUAUAAUAUUACAUACUGUAUUUAAUGUGUAACAAUGUAUAUUACCUAGAAAAGUAUGGUAUGUCAGGUGAUAUACUAAUUUUAAAUACAUUCCAUUGUUGGAUUAGAAUCCAGAUUAGACUGCCUUAGAUUCUGCUUUAUCUAUGAGUUUUGUAAAAAUAGUUAUAUAAUGCCAUUCAAAGACCGGAUUUCCACCCUGUACUAGGUCAUAAUGUUAUUUUGAGAAUUCACAUCAUGAAAAGUUGUGGAUUUGUUACCUACUGCAGUAUGUUAGCCCAGCUAAUUAUGGCAUAUUAAUAUAUCAUAAUUUAAGAAAAUAGUGUGAUAUAUAUGAGCUCCAGUAAUAAAUUUUCUCUCCAUCCUC